UGUGAUGGCUGAUCCUAAAUAUGAAGGAAACUAACUUUUCUUAGCUUGCUUUUAUGUUUUUGUUAGACUUCCCAUGUGUUAGUUAUGAGGACUGAGAUGUUUUAUGUUAAAACAGUUGUAUGCACGUAUGUUGUAAGUUUGCUGCUGCUACUUUCAUAGAUACCUUGCGUUUUUCACUUCUUUUUGAUGCUCUUUUUGUUUAAGCUCUGAAUGUGAACUAA
rnacentral:misc_RNA from 1 species